UGAACUGGGUGACUAGAGUGUGUCAGAGGGAGGUAGAAUUCCACGUGUAGCAGUGAAAUGCGUAGAGAUGUGGAGGAAUACCGAUGGCGAAGGCAGCCUCCUGGGAUAACACUGACGUUCAUGCCCGAAAGCGUGGGUAGCAAACAGGAUUAGAUACCCUGGUAGUCCACGCCCUAAACGAUGUCGAUUAGCUGUUGGGCAGCAUGACUGCUUAGUAGCGAAGCUAACGCGUGAAAUCGACCGCCUGGGGAGUACGGUCGCAAGAUUAAAACUCAAAGGAAUUGACGGGGACCCGCACAAGCGGUGGAUGAUGUGGAUUAAUUCGAUGCAACGCGAAGAACCUUACCUGGUCUUGACAUGUACGGAACCCUCCAGAGACGGAGGAGUGCCUUCGGGAGCCGUAACACAGGUGCUGCAUGGCUGUCGUCAGCUCGUGUCGUGAGAUGUUGGGUNNNNNNNNNNNNACGAGCGCAACCCUUGUCAUUAGUUGCCAUCAUUAAGUUGGGCACUCUAAUGAGACUGCCGGUGACAAGCCGGAGGAAGGUGGGGAUGACGUCAAGUCCUCAUGGCCCUUAUGACCAGGGCUUCACACGUCAUACAAUGGUCGGUACAGAGGGUAGCCAAGCCGCGAGGCGGAGCCAAUCUCACAAAACUGAUCGUAGUCCGGAUUGCACUCUGCAACUCGAGUGCAUGAAGUCGGAAUCGCUAGUAAUCGCAGGUCAGCAUACUGCGGUGAAUACGUUCCCGGGUCU
rnacentral:rRNA from 1 species